UGGGGAAUAUUGCACAAUGGGCGCAAGCCUGAUGCAGCAUGCCGCGUGUAUGAAGAAGGCCUUCGGGUUGUAAAGUACUUUCAGUCGGGAGGAAGGUGGUAAGGUUAAUAACCUUGGCAAUUGACGUUACCGACAGAAGAAGCACCGGCUAACUCCGUGCCAGCAGCCGCGGUAAUACGGAGGGUGCAAGCGUUAAUCGGAAUUACUGGGCGUAAAGCGCACGCAGGCGGUUGAUUGAGUCAGAUGUGAAAUCCCCGGGCUUAACCCGGGAAUUGCAUCUGAUACUGGUCAGCUAGAGUCUUGUAGAGGGGGGUAGAAUUCCAUGUGUAGCGGUGAAAUGCGUAGAGAUGUGGAGGAAUACCGGUGGCGAAGGCGGCCCCCUGGACAAAGACUGACGCUCAGGUGCGAAAGCGUGGGGAGCAAACAGG
rnacentral:rRNA from 1 species